rnacentral:rRNA from 1 species
UACGUAGGGAGCGAGCGUUAUCCGGAUUCAUUGGGCGUGAAGCGCGCGUAGGCGGUCGUGUAAGCGGAACCUCUAAUCUGAGGGCUCAACCCCCAGCCGGGUUCCGAACUGCAUGACUCGAGUGUGGUAGGGGUGGAUGGAAUUCCCGGUGUAGCGGUGAAAUGCGCAGAUAUCGGGAAGAACACCGAUGGCGAAGGCAGUCCACUGGGACAUCACUGACGCUGAGGUGCGAAAGCGUGGGGAGCGAACA